UACGUAUUUGGCAAGCGUUGUCCGGAAUUAUUGGGCGUAAAGCGCGCUCAGGCGGGCCUUUAAGUCUGAUGUGAAAGCCCACGGCUCAACCGUGGAGGGUCAUUGGAAACUGGAGGACUUGAGUGCAGAAGCGGAAAGUGGAAUUCCAUGUGUAGCGGUGAAAUGCGUAGAGAUGUGGAGGAACACCAGUGGCGAAGGCGAAUUUCUGGUCUGUAACUGACGCUGAGGCGCGAAAGCGUGGGGAGCAAACAGG
rnacentral:misc_RNA from 1 species